rnacentral:rRNA from 1 species
CCUACGGGAGGCUGCAGUGAGGAAUAUUGGUCAAUGGUCGGGAGACUGAACCAGCCAAGCCGCGUGCGGGAUGAAGGUACAGAGUAUCGUAAACCUCUUUUGUCAGGGAACAAACGUGGGGACGCGUCUCCGGCUGAGUGUACCCUACGAAUAAGCAUCGGCUAACUCCGUGCCAGCAGCCGCGGUAAUACGGAGGAUGCGAGCGUUAUCCGGAUUUAUUGGGUUUAAAGGGUGCGUAGGUUGUUUUUUAAGUCAGCGGUGAAAGUUUGUGGCUCAACCAUAAAAUUGCCGUUGAUACUGGAAGACUUGAGUGUGUUUGAGGUAGGCGGAAUGCAUGGUGUAGCGGUGAAAUGCAUAGAUAUCACGCAGAACACCGAUUGCGAAGGCAGCUUACUAAGCCAUAACUGACACUGAAGCACGAAAGCGUGGGGAUCAAACAGGAUUAGAUACCCCAGUAGUC